UGGGUCUCGUGGCAAACGUGGACGUAACCAGAAAAGGAUGGAGAACUUGGUUUCAGAGAUCUUGAGCUCUUCAACCUUGCAUUACUAGCACGACAGCCUUGGCGGUUGUUAAUUAUGCCUGACUCUCUUUGUGCAAAGUUACUCAAGGCAAUUUAUUUUCCGGAGGUAAGCAUUAUGGAUGCUGAUGUGGGCUCUCACCCUUCACGGGUACGGCGGUCGUUGAUUGAAGGGAGGGACGUGCUAGCUCAAGGCCUGAUCCGGAGGAUAAGAGAUGGAAGUUCCACGCAAAUAUGCAGAGACAUGCCAAUGAAACCGAUUGCCCGCUUGGGGCUGAACCCACCAAGUUUAGUGUCGGAGUUGGUCAACACUACAAAUGUAGUGUGGCGAUCUGAUCUUCUAGAACAAUAUUUUUUGCCAACUAGGCUAUCGAGAAUAUACCCUUCCACACCAUGCCUAUGA
rnacentral:rRNA from 1 species